rnacentral:lncRNA from 1 species
GCGCGGCUGUGCCCGGGGCCUAUUUUUGGCACACGGAGGCACCUCGUAAAGUCUCACGCCAUUACGAGUCCGGCGGACGAAGUUGGCCAGCCCCACCCCGCAAGGCUAUAGCCCACCCGUUUUUGUGGGCUUUUUCCGCUGGACGAACUUGGCGCCCCGGCCUUCGGGCGGUUAUUUUUGAGUGCGGCUGUGCCCGCAGCCUAUUUUUGGCACACGGAGGCGUCUCGCAAAGUCUCGCACCAUUCCAAGUCCGGCGGACGAUGUUGGCCAGCCCCACCCCCCAAGGCUAUAGCCCACCAGUGUUUGGGGGCUUUUUCCGCUGGACAAACUUGGCGCCCCGGCCUUCGGGCGGUUAUUUUUGGGUGCGACUGUGCCCGCGGCCUGUUUUUGGCACACGGAGGUGCCUCGCAAAGUCUCACGCCAUUCCGAGUCAGGCGGACGAAGUCGGCCAGCCACACCCACCAAGGCUAUAGCCCACCCGUUUUUGUGGGCUUUUUCCGCCGGACGAACUUGGCGCCCCGGCCUUCGAGCGGUUAUUUUUGGGCGCCGCUGUGCCCGCGGCCUAUUUUUGGCACGCGUAGGUGCCUCGCAAAGUCUAGCGACAUUCCUAGUCCGGGGGACGAAGUUGGCCAGCCCCACCCCCCAAGGCUAUAGCCCACCCGUUGUUGUGACUUUUUUCCGCUGGACGAACUUCGCGCUCCGGCCUUCGGGCGGUUAUUUUUGGGUGCGACUGUGCCCGCGGCCUGUUUUUGGCACACGGAGGUGCCUCGUAAAGUCUUGGCGCCCCGGCCUUCGGGCGGUUAUUUUUGGGUGCGACUGUGCCCGCGGCCUGUUUUUGGUACACGGAGGUGCCUCGCAAAGUCUCACGCCAUUCCGAGUCCGGCGGACGAAGUCGGCCAGCCACACCCCCCAGGGCUAUAGCCCACUCGUUUUUGUGGGCUUUUUCCGCC